AUUGAACGCUGGCGGCAGGCUUAACACAUGCAAGUCGAGCGAGCGGCGGACUGGUGAGUAAUGUCUGGGAAACUGCCUGAUGGAGGGGGUUAACUACUGGAAACGGUAGCUAAUACCGCAUACCAUCAGAUGUGCCCAUAUGGGAUUAGCUAGUCGGUGGGGUGAUGGCUCACCUAGGCGACGAUCCCUAGCUGGUCUGAGAGGAUGACCAGCCACACUGGAACGGGGACACGGUCCAGACUCUUACGGGAGGCAGAAGUGGGGAAUAUUGCACAAUGGGGGCAAGCCUGAUACAGCCAUGCCGCGUGUGUGAAGAAGGCCUUCGGGUUGUAAAGCACUUUCAGCGAGGAGGCGUUACUCGCAGAAGAAGCACCGGCUAACUCCGUGCCAGCCGCCGCGGUAAUUC
rnacentral:rRNA from 1 species